rnacentral:rRNA from 1 species
GUGGGGAACCUGCCGUAUACAGGGGGAUAACACAUAGAAAUAGGUGCUAAUACCGCAUAAGCGCACAUCUUCGCAUGAAGGAGUGUGAAAAGGCGAAAGCCGGUAUACGAUGGCCCCGCGUCUGAUUAGCCAGUUGGCAGGGCAGCGGCCUACCAAAGCGACGAUCAGUAGCCGGCCUGAGAGGGCGGACGGCCACAUUGGGACUGAGACACGGCCCAGACUCCUGCGGGAGGCAGCAGUGGGGAAUAUUGCACAAUGGGGGGAACCCUGAUGCAGCGACGCCGCGUGAGUGAAGAAGUAUUUCGGUAUGUAAAGCUCUAUCAGCAGGGAAGAAAAUGACGGUACCUGAAUAAGAAGCCCCGGCUAACUACGUGCCAGCAGCCGCGGUAAUACGUAGGGGGCAAGCGUUAUCCGGAUUUACUGGGUGUAAAGGGAGCGUAGACGGUUAUGCAAGUCUGGAGUGAAAGCCCGGGGCUCAACCCCGGGACUGCUUUGGAAACUGUAAAACUGGAGUGCAGGAGAGGCAGGCGGAAUUCCUAGUGUAGCGGUGAAAUGCGUAGAUAUUAGGAGGAACACCAGUGGCGAAGGCGGCCUGCUGGACUGUAACUGACGUUGAGGCUCGAAGGCGUGGGGAGCAAACAGGAUUAGAUACCCUGGUAGUCCACGCGGUAAACGAUGAUCACUAGGUGUCGGAGGGUAGAGACCCUUCGGUGCCGCCGCAAACGCAGUAAGUGAUCCACCUGGGGAGUACGUUCGCAAG